rnacentral:ncRNA from 2 species
UUUUCAAUAAAAAAAUAUAGAAUUGGUCAUCGCAAGUAGGGGAAGAUCGGUGGAAAUCCGACGCUGUCCCGCAACUGUGAACCGGACGAAAGCCAUCAAUGGCCACUUCCUUUAAAAAGGUGGGAAGGCCGGCGAGUAGGUUGAAGGUGAGCCAGGAUACCCUUUGCGAAAUACCUUACGAG